CUUUUGGGUCCUUGGGCUUCAAAGCCUCGACCUUUGUUUCUUUAGGUUUCAAAGCUUCAACUUUCUGUACUUUGGGCAUCAAAGCCUCAAGCUUUGUUUCUUUAGGUUUUGUGACCUCUGGUUUGACCUCCGGAGGUUUGGCAGGUUCU